AGUCGAGGGGCAGCAUUUCAGUUUGCUUGCAAACUGGAGAUGGCGACCGGCGCACGGGUGAGUAACACGUAUCCAACCUGCCGAUAACUCGGGGAUAGCCUUUCGAAAGAAAGAUUAAUACCCGAUGGUAUAAUCAGACCGCAUGGUCUUGUUAUUAAAGAAUUUCGGUUAUCGAUGGGGAUGCGUUCCAUUAGGCAGUUGGUGAGGUAACGGCUCACCAAACCUUCGAUGGAUAGGGGCUCUGAGAGGAAGGUCCCCCACAUUGGAACUGAGACACGGUCCAAACUCCUACGGGAGGCAGCAGUGAGGAAUAUUGGUCAAUGGACGCGAGUCUGAACCAGCCAAGUAGCGUGAAGGAUGACUGCCCUAUGGGUUGUAAACUUCUUUUAUAUGGGAAUAAAGUUUUCCACGUGUGGAAUUUUGUAUGUACCAUAUGAAUAAGGAUCGGCUAACUCCGUGCCAGCAGCCGCGGUAAUACGGAGGAUCCGAGCGUUAUCCGGAUUUAUUGGGUUUAAAGGGAGCGUAGGUGGACAGUUAAGUCAGUUGUGAAAGUUUGCGGCUCAACCGUAAAAUUGCAGUUGAUACUGGCUGUCUUGAGUACAGUAGAGGUGGGCGGAAUUCGUGGUGUAGCGGUGAAAUGCUUAGAUAUCACGAAGAACUCCGAUUGCGAAGGCAGCUCACUGGACUGCAACUGAC
rnacentral:rRNA from 1 species